rnacentral:rRNA from 1 species
CCUACGGGUGGCAGCAGUGAGGAAUAUUGGUCAAUGGACGAGAGUCUGAACCAGCCAAGUAGCGUGAAGGAUGACUGCCCUAUGGGUUGUAAACUUCUUUUAUAUGGGAAUAAAACGUUCCACGUGUGGGAUUUUGUAUGUACCAUAUGAAUAAGGAUCGGCUAACUCCGUGCCAGCAGCCGCGGUAAUACGGAGGAACCGAGCGUUAUCCGGAUUUAUUGGGUUUAAAGGGAGCGUAGGUGGAUUGUUAAGUCAGUUGUGAAAGUUUGCGGCUCAACCGUAAAAUUGCAGUUGAAACUGGCAGUCUUGAGUACAGUAGAGGUGGGCGGAAUUCGUGGUGUAGCGGUGAAAUGCGUAGAUAUCACGAAGAACUCCGAUUGCGAAGGCAGUUCACUGGACUGCAACUGACAUUGAGGCUCGAAAGUGUGGGUAUCAAACAGGAUUAGAUACCCUAGUAGUC